CACGAAAAAAGAGUUAGUUCCUUGCAGUUCGAAGUGUCCUGUCCACAUUAUUCAGUGGCCAUUAGGAAUAAUUGGAAUCAACUCUGAGUGACUGCAAGAAAGAAAGAAAGAAAGAAAGAAAGAAGAAAGCUGAGAACAGGGGCGGCAUCAGUUCCAUUCUGGAGGAGGAGGCCUCAGAGCGUAGGAGGGAGCCGUCUUGCUGGUCUCCAACACCUGAUGAUCACACAAAAGAACAUUUCUUAUUAGUUUGAAUGUCUUACUCAUUCUCUCAUUAUCAUUUCUUAUUGAGCAAUAUAUUAUUAUAGAAGAAGCAGUGAAACUUGUUUUUAAAAAGAGCUCUGACUUUUAUCAGCUGCAACACUAAAGUGAUAAACUAAUCCAGUCCAAAACCUUUAAUAUCCAGUUUAUUGAGCGGUGUACACUAAAACCUAUUGAAAAUGGUGUUGGUUGGAAUAACAACAUUUGUAAGUUGUCUUGUGAACAUUUUAUAACUCUGUACUCUGUGCCAUAAAAAUGUAUCUGAUCUGUUGCUAUGAGUUGGAUUUUUAACUGCUGCCCCGGUAAAAGAAGUAACUUUUAAAGGCACUUUCCUAAAGAGGAUAUGUUGGCAUCAGUAAUCUCCAGACUUUGUAGAAUAUGUACAGAAUUAAACGACGGAAAAAAUAAGUUUGCGAUACUUUGU